rnacentral:rRNA from 1 species
GAGAUAUAUACUGUCUCAUAUAUAUAAAAUGAAUUUAAAUUUUUAGUAAAAAUGCUUAAAUAAUUUUAUGGGACGAUAAGACCCUAUAGAAUUUUAUAUUAAAAUUUUAUUAAUUAUUUAAUUAAAAUUUUAAUAUUUAGUUGGGAGGAUUAGUAAAUAAAAUUAACUUUAUUUUAAAAAUAAACUUUGAUUUAAGAAUAAAAUUUUGAUCUUAUAUUAUAAAUUAAAAGAAUAAAUUACCUUAGGGAUAACAGCGUAAUAUCUUUUUAAAGAUCAUAUUAAUAAAGAUGUUUGCGACCUCGAUGUUGAAUUAAGAUAAAUUUUAAAUGAAGAAAUUUAAAAAUUAAGUCUGUUCGACUUUUAAAAUCUUACAUGA